rnacentral:rRNA from 1 species
GAUGAACGCUGGCGGCGUGCUUAACACAUGCAAGUCGAACGAAGCACUGCAGUUAACCUCUUCGGAGGGGCGCUGCUGUGACUGAGUGGCGGACGGGUGAGUAACGCGUGGAUAACCUGCCUCAUACCGGGGGAUAACAGUCAGAAAUGACUGCUAAUACCGCAUAAGCGCACAGUACCGCAUGGUACGGUGUGAAAAACUCCGGUGGUAUGAGAUGGAUCCGCGUUUGAUUAGCUAGUUGGCGGGGUAACGGCCCACCAAGGCGACGAUCAAUAGCCGGCCUGAGAGGGCGACCGGCCACAUUGGGACUGAGACACGGCCCAAACUCCUACGGGAGGCAGCAGUGGGGAAUAUUGCACAAUGGGGGAAACCCUGAUGCAGCGACGCCGCGUGAAGGAAGACGUAUUUCGGUAUGUAAACUUCUAUCAGCAGGGAAGAACAUGACGGUACCUGACUAAGAAGCCCCGGCUAACUACGUGCCAGCAGCCGCCGUAAAAC